rnacentral:misc_RNA from 1 species
AACGCACCUUGCGCUCCUUGGUAUUCCGAGGAGCAUGCCUGUUUGAGUGUCUUGAAGUCAUCAACCCCUCUGGUUUUUUCGGGAACCGGGGAAGGUUGGAUUAUGGGGGCCCGUGCUGCCGCGAGGCUGCUCCCCUCAAAUGCGUCGGUUGGACCUGCGGGUCGGACUCGAUUGGGCGUUGUAUCAUCCUCGCUCUGACCGAGAAGUUCCCCUCACGCGUCCUCCCACGACUCGCCUUUGGAGAGGCGGUCAACACUCUUUGAAAUCUGACCUCAAAUCAGGUAGGACUACCCGCUGAACUUAA